AUAACUUUGCAAUGAGUACUUUUUCUCAUUCCCUCGAACAAAGUGUAAAAGGUAAUUAUAUUAUUCUAUUAUGCCCCGAGAGUGUAAAUUUGCAACGUAUCAAUGUCAAUGUUCACAAGAACCAAAAUCGGAAAAACAUUAGACUACUCAAUUGCUCCCUAACUGUAUAACUUUAGAAUGAGUACUUUUUCUCAUUCAAUCAAACAAAGAUUAAAACCUAAUUAUAUUAUUCUAUUAUUCCCCCGAGUGUGUAAAUUUUGAAUGUAUCGAUGUCAACGUUCACAAGAACCAAAAUCAGAAAAACAUUAGACUACUCAGUUGCUCCAUAACAGUACAACUUUGCAAUGAGUACUUUGUCUCAUUCAAUCAAACAAAGAGUAAAACCUAAUUAUGUUGUUCCAUUAUGCCGCGAGAGUGUAAAUUUGCAACGUAUCGAUGUCAAUGUUCACAAGAACCAAAAUCGGAAAAACAUUAGACUGCUCAAUUGCUCCCUAACUGUAUAACUAUGCAAUGAGUACUUUUUCUCAUUAAAUCAAACAAAGAUUAAAACCUAAUUAUAUUAUUCUAUUAUACCCCGAGUGUAUAAAUUUGCAACGUAUCGAUGUCAACGUUCAUAAAAACCAAAACCGGACAAACAUUAGACUACUCAGUUGCUCCCUAACAGUGUAACUUUGCAAUGAGUACUUUUUCGCAAUCAAUCAAACAAAGAGUAAAACCUAAUUAUAUUAUUCUAUUAUUCCCCGAGUGUGUAAAUUUGCAACGUAUCGAUGUCAACGUUCACAAAAACCAAAACCGGACAAACAUUAGACUACUCAGUUGCGCCCUAACAGUAUAACUUUACAACGAGUACUUUUUCUCCUUCAACCGAACAAAGAGUAAAACCUAAUUAUAUUGUUCCAUUAUGCCCCGAGAGUGUAAAUUUGCAACGUAUCGAUGUCAACGUUCACAAAAACCAAAACCGGACAAAUAUUAGACUACUCAGUUGUGCCCUAACAGUAUAACUUUACAUCGAGUACUUUUUCUCCUUCAACCGAACAAAGAGUAAAACCUAAUUAUAUUGUUCCAUUAUGCCCCGAGAUUGUAAAUUUGCAACGUAUCGACGUCAAUAUUCACAAGAACCAAAAUCGGAAAAAUAUUAGACUACUCAGUUGCUCCCUAACAGUGUAACUUUGCAAGAGUACUUUUUCUCAUUCAAUCAAAUAAAGAGUAAAACCAAAUUAUAUUAUUCUAUUAUGCCCCGAGUGUAUAAAUUUGCAACGUAUCGAUGUCAACGUUCACAAGAACCAAAACCGGAACAACAUUAGACUACUCAGUUACGCCCUAGCAGUAUAACUUUGCAAACAGUGCUUUUUCUCAUUCAAUCGAACAAAGAGAAAAACCCAAUUAUAUUGUUCUAUUAUUCCCCGAGAGUGUAAAUUUGCAACGUAUCAAUGUCAACGUUUACAAGAACCAAAUUCGAGAAAACAUUAGACAACUCAGUUGCUUCCUAACAGUAUAACUUUACAUUGAGUACCAUUUCUAAUUACAUCGUUCUAUUAUGCCGCGAGAGUGUAAAUUUGCAACGUAUCAAUUUCAACGUUCACAAAAACCAAAACCGGACCAACAUUAGACUACUAAGUUGCGCCCUAACAAUAUAACUUUGCAACGAGUACUUUUUCUCCUUCAACUGAACAAAGUGUAAAAUCUAAUUAUAUUGUUCUAUUAUGCCCCGAGAGGGUAAAUUUGCAACGUAUCGAUGUUAUCGUUCAGAAAAAUCAAAAUUGGACCAACAUUAGACUACUAAGUUGCGUCCUAACAGUAUAACUUUGCAACGAGUACUUUUUCUCCUUCUACCGAAGAAAGAGUAAAACCUAAUUAUGUUGUUCCACUAUGCCCCGAGAGUGUAAAUUUGCCACGUAUCGAUGUCAAUGUUCACAAGAACCAAAACCGGAAAAACAUUAGACUACUCAAUUGCUCCAUAACUGUAUAACUUUGCAAUGAGUACUUUUUCUCAUUCAAUCAAACAAAGAUUAAAAUCUAAUUAUAUUAUUCUAUUAUGCCCCGAGUGUGUAAAUUUGCAACGUAUCGAUGUCAACGUUCAUAAAAACCAAAACCGGACAAACAUUAGACUACUCAGUUGCUCCCUAACAGUAUAACUUUGCAAUGAGUACUUUUUCUCAUUCAAUCAAACAAAGAGUAAAACCUAAUUAUAUUAUUCUAUUAUUCCCCGAGUGUGUAAAUUUGCAACGUAUCGAUGUCAACGUUCACAAAAACCAAAACCGGACAAACAUUAGACUACUCAGUUGCGCCCUAACAGUAUAACUUUACAACGAGUACUUUUUCUCCUUCAACCGAACAAAGAGUAAAACCUAAUUAUAUUGUUCCAUUAUGCCCCGAGAGUGUAAAUUUGCAACGUAUCGAUGUCAAUGUUCACAAGAACCAAAAUCGGAAAAAUAUUAGACUACUCAGUUGCUCUAUAACAGUAUAACUUUGCAAUGAGUACUUUUUCUCAUUCAAUCAAACAAAGAGUAAAACCUAAUUAUAUUAUUAUAUUAUGCCCCGAGUGUGUAAAUUUGCAACGUAUCGAUGUCAACGUUCACAAAAACAAGAACGGAACAAACAUUAGACUACUCAAUUGCGCUCUAACAGUAUAACUUUACAACUAGUUCUUUUUCUCCUUCAACCGAACAAAGAGUAAAACCUAAUUAUAUUGUUCCAUUAUGCCCCGAGAGUGUAAAUUUGCAACGUAUUGACGUCAAUGUUCACAAGAACCAAAAUCGGUGAAAUAAUAGACUACUCAGUUGCUCCCUAACAGUGUAACUUUGCAAUGAGUACUUUUUUUAUUCAAUCAAACAAAUAGUAAAUCCUAAUUAUAUUAUUCUAUUAUGCCCCGAGUGUGUAAAUUUGCAUCGUGUCGAUGUCAACGUUCACAAAAACUAAAACCGGACAAACAUUAGACUGCUCAGUUGCGUCCUAUAACUUUACAACGAGUACUUUUUCUCAUUCAACCGAACAACGAGUAAAACCUAAUUAUAUU
rnacentral:lncRNA from 1 species